GUAUUCCUCCUCAAUCACCCAUGUGUGCCACAAGUAAUUCCGCAGAAACUGCAGUUUACUAUCAGGGAGUAGAUAGAUUGUCACAGAUA